CGGGCUCCUUGGUUUGCUCUAGUGGGAGUGUGAGUCAAGAGAGGAUGAGUUGAGGAUAGAGGUCCCCCAAGGACCCCUUUUAUAGGGUCUUGGGGGGCGUUUCCCCAUUCAAUCGAGUGGGGCCCACGCCAUUAAGGUACCCCUAAUAAGGAAUGCCUUAAUGGCGAAGGUCCGCUCAAGUAACGGCUGGGAGUCGGCGAUUCAGGUAUGGGAAUCGCCGAUCCAGAGGUUCAAUCGCCGACUCCCCAUGAGCCUAGUGGCAGCCUACCAGAGCUGUCCACGAGGCGUAGAGUUGGCGAUUCCCCCCUGGAGUCGGCGACUUGGUAGUCCCAAUUGGCGACUCCCAAGUGUUAACUUGAGCUCUUGACGUAGACACGUGCUCCGCACCGUGGAAGCCUUUCCGGGGGUCCGGCAUAUAGCGACGGAACCCUAUUCCUUGUUUGAAGGGCGUUGCUGGGAGUGACUGACGUAAUCAGGCAUGUCUCACCAGUACUCCCCCCUGAAGAGAGUAUGGCUGAACACCUGUGUACCGCCAGUAUCCCCCCCCCAAGCAAGGUGAUCCGCAUCAAGGCCAAAGCGAUAAGAUGGGAUCGAGUCAAUGUGGCCACAGCGACACGAUGACUCCGUUACCCAUGCACUAUCAGAUGGGUUGAUUCACUAUUAGAAUCUAGUUCCAGGCCAGUAGAACUACGUGUUUAUAGUCCGACUCUGAUCAGGAGCGACUCUUUCUGUGUUAUCAUCAAGGCCAAAGAGACAAGAUGAAGGGAUGUUAUUAAGGCCAAAGCGACAAAAUAACUCCCAUCCAUUAA
rnacentral:lncRNA from 1 species